ensembl:misc_RNA Metazoa_SRP Metazoan signal recognition particle RNA
GCCGGGCAUGGUGGCUCAUGCCUGUAAUCCCAGCACUUUAGGAGGCUGAGGCGGGAGGAUCGCUUGAGCUCAGGAGUUUGAGACCAGCCUAGGCAAUAUAGUGAGAUCUCGUCUCUA